rfam:Anabaena sp. 90 chromosome chANA02, complete sequence.
GUCAGUAACCCAGCCCUAAAGGGACUGGGCUUGCAAGAGUAAUCAAGCAAGCCGUGCUGACCAGACCACCCUGAGUGACCUGCCCUGAGCGGUGUCGAAGGGAGUCGAAGGGUAGCCGUUAUUUGAGCCACGACACCCCGGAAUGCGUAGCCCCUUCGGGGUUCAGCAGUCGCUCAUGGGGGAAACCCCCAAGACCGCGCUGCUUCACUAGUUCCCUGCUCUGUCAUUUGCAAUUAAACAGUUUUAAGGUCACUGAAACAGUGUUGCAAGUCUAAAAAGCUUUUAUAACUGGUCGUUCGCGCAGCGUGCCGGAGGCAUCUAGCUAACAUUAC